CAAGACUCUCUUAUGUCCAGUACCUGAUCAUCAGGUAUAUCAACCAGACCACAGGACUAAUGUCUCCUGUUACAAGACUCUCUUAUGUCCAGUACCUGAUCAUCAGGUAUAUCAACCAGACCACAGGACUAAUGUCUCCUGUUACAAGACUCUCUUAUGUCCAGUACCUGAUCAUCAGGUAUAUCAACCAGACCACAGGACUAAUGUCUCCUGUUACAGACUCUCUUAUGUCCAGUACCUGAUCGUCAGGUAUAUCAACCAGACCACAGGACUAAUGUCUCCUGUUACAGACUCUCUUAUGUCCAGUACCUGAUCGUCAGGUAUAUCAACCAGACCACAGGACUAAUGUCUUAAGGGCUUAUGAGUGAAAACCUCCUUCCAUCGUAGCUUCAACCUGUCAGCUUCUGUGAAUGUUUAUAUUGUAGCUUCAUGUUAAUGUGCCAGUUUUUUAUUUGACUUGUUUAAGUGUUUAAUGUUGCUCUACUUGUUUAGUGUCACCUUGAUUAUAUACAGAGGGGUCAAAUUAUUGACACUGAGCUGAAGAUCAUGACUAUAUUAAAUAAAUAAAUAAAGUACUGACCUAUUGUAUGCUCAAAAUAAAUUGUAAAUUAUAAUAUUUUAAACUAAUACAAUUGCUCAGAGAAAUAUAUUUUUGUGAAAUGAUUUUUGUUGUAAAAGGUUAGGGGUCAAAAAUGAUUGACAGCCCUGAAUCUUCAGGAGUGUGAUGUCGUCAUUACUAUGAAUAUAGAUACUGACCUUCUGACUAGUUUAUUACUCUUUAGGGGGGUCAAUCAUUUAGAAAAUAAAUACUACUUGUUAAACUAAAUAUUUGAAUCAGAUCAAUCGUAUUAAUAUAAAAUAAUAUAAUUGACAUGUUGUUGAGCAGAUGAUAGAGCUCAGUAUUUAAAUUAUUUAUUUAUACAGUCAUUAUCUUUAUCAAGGGUGUCUAUAAUUCCAGACCAACUGUAUCUUAUAUAUUGAUCAUGUAUAUACAGUCAUUAUUAUCUUUAUCAAGGGUGUCUAUAAUUCCAGACCCCACUGUAUCUUAUAUAUUGAUCAUGUAUAUACAGUUGAAUGGUGUUUUCCAUGUAUUGAUUUCUUGUUUUAAUAAACUGCGACAUCAUUGUGUGAGAAUGUGACUCCAGUGUAAUGUUUCAAAAUUGUUAAAAGUUAGUAGGUAGUGUUACUGUUUCCUUGGUGACCUGUGUUGUGGAAAUAUAAAAUAAACAAUAUAAAUAUAAUACGAA